rnacentral:rRNA from 1 species
GACAGAGGUGGCAAGCGUUGUUCGGAAUUACUGGGCUUAAAGGGCGCGUAGGUGGUGAUGUAAGUCCGGGGUGGAAGGCUAAGGCUUAACCUUAGGAUUGCCCUGGAAACUAUAUUACUUGAGUCAGACAGGGGAUGGCGGAAUUCCUGGUGUAGCGGUGAAAUGCGUAGAUAUCAGGAGGAAGGCCGGUGGCGAAGGCGGCCAUCUGGGUCUGAACUGACACUGAGGCGCGAAAGCGUGGGGAGCAAAC